CUCGAAGUGGACUCACCGGGGAAGAGGCUCACCGGCUCACAGGGGGAAGGACCGAUGAGGACAUGAAGAGAAAACAGGCGUCACCAGCUAGUUAAGGCCGAACAAAGACCAUCCGAGAUGAAACAAAAUGAUCUCUUCCCGUUGUGAUAGAAUCGUGGCUCAAGUCCGGACAGACCACACCAAGCCAAUCCAGUUCCACGAGAGAGAGGUUUAUUGUGGCGGAAGGGGACAAAAGGGGGUGACGGAGACAAAGGGGGAAAAGAGAGAGAAGAAGGAGUGAAGGGUCAGGAAGGGUCUGCCUUUUAUUUGGGCUGUGACAUACCGCUCACAGGUAAAGGUGGGAGGUAACUGGAUGCU
rnacentral:lncRNA from 1 species